rnacentral:lncRNA from 1 species
GUGUGAACUUCGCUUCGAUUGAGUGCUUGUGUCACCGGAUUCCUGUCCAUCAGUUUCCUGGUUGGUGAUACUUUAUGGGUGUGCAAGCCAUCGGAAUCUUGUCCAUCGGAUUCCUGCUGCUGGUGGCUGUGCAAUCGAGAUUGGAGUGCUGAUCUGUUUCUCCUGUUCCCUUUGAGCCGUGAUCAUUGAGCUGCCGGAAGAAGCCGUUGCCUACUGUGGGAAAAAUCUGAGCCAAUGUGUCCCGAGGACACAUUUUUCCCACAUCGACUUUCCUUGUUUUUCUUUCUUCUGACUUUCCCUUGUUU